UACGGAGGAUGCAAGCGUUAUCCGGAAUGAUUGGGCGUAAAGCGUCCGCAGGUGGCGGGGUAAGUCUGCUGUUAAAGAGUGAGGCUCAACCUCAUAAAAGCAGUGGAAACUACACAGCUAGAGUGCGGUAGGGGCAGAGGGAAUUCCUGGUGUAGCGGUGAAAUGCGUAGAGAUCAGGAAGAACACCGGUGGCGAAAGCGCUCUGCUAGGCCGCAACUGACACUGAGGGACGAAAGCUAGGGGAGCGAAUGGG
rnacentral:rRNA from 1 species